rnacentral:rRNA from 1 species
UACAGAGGGGGCAAGCGUUGUUCGGAAUUACUGGGCGUAAAGGGCGCGUAGCGGCCGCCUAAGUCAGACGUGAAAUCCCUCGGCUCAACCGGGGGAACUGCGUCUGAUACUGGGUGGCUUGAAUUCGGGAGAGGGAUGCGGAAUUCCAGGUGUAGCGGUGAAAUGCGUAGAUAUCUGGAGGAACACCGGUGGCGAAGGCGGCACCCUGG